rnacentral:rRNA from 1 species
AAUAGAUACCCCGGUAGUCCAUGCCGUAAACGUUGGGCACUAGGUGUGGGGCUCAUUCCACGAGUUCCGUGCCGCAGCAAACGCAUUAAGUGCCCCGCCUGGGGAGUACGGCCGCAAGGCUAAAACUCAAAGGAAUUGACGGGGGCCCGCACAAGCGGCGGAGCAUGCGGAUUAAUUCGAUGCAACGCGAAGAACCUUACCAAGGCUUGACAUGCACGGGAAGCCACCAGAGAUGGUGGUCUCUUUGGACACUCGUGCACAGGUGGUGCAUGGUUGUCGUCAGCUCGUGUCGUGAGAUGUUGGGUUAAGUCCCGCAACGAGCGCAACCCUCGUCCCAUGUUGCUAGCGGGUUAUGCCGGGGACUCAUGGGAGACUGCCGGGGUCAACUCGGAGGAAGGUGGGGAUGACGUCAAAUCAUCAUGCCCCUUAUGUCUUGGGCUUCACGCAUGCUACAAUGGCCGGUACAAGGGCUGCGAUGCCGUAAGGUGGAGCGAAUCCCAAAAAGCCGGUCUCAGUUCGGAUUGGGGUCG